CUUUUGGAAUGAAAAAAGGGUAACAAGGUUUCCGUAGGUGAACCUGCGGAAGGAUCAUUACUGAUUUGCUUAAUUGCACCACAUGUGUUUUUUAUUGAACAAAUUUCUUUGGUGGCGGGAGCAAUCCUACCGCCAGAGGUUAUAAUUAAACCAAACUUUUUAUUUACAGUCAAACUUGAUUUAUUAUUACAAUAGUCAAAACUUUCAACAACGGAUCUCUUGGUUCUCGCAUCGAUGAAGAACGCAGCGAAAUGCGAUACGUAAUAUGAAUUGCAGAUAUUCGUGAAUCAUCGAAUCUUUGAACGCCCAUUGCGCCCUUUGGUAUUCCAAAGGGCAUGCCUGUUUGAGCGUCAUUUCUCCCUCAAACCCCCGGGUUUGGUGUUGACCAAUACGCUAGGUUUGUUUGAAAGAAUUUACGUGGAAACUUAUUUUAAGCGACUUAGGUUUAUCCAAAAACGCUUAUUUUGCUAGUGGCCACCACAAUUUAUUUCAUAACUUGACCUCAAAUCAGGUAGACGCCCAGGUCC
rnacentral:rRNA from 1 species